rnacentral:rRNA from 1 species
AUUCAAUAAGCGGAGGAAAAGAAACUAACAAGGAUUCCCCUAGUAACGGCGAGUGAACCGGGAAGAGCUCAAAUUUGAAAUCUGGCGUGCUCAGUGCGUCCGAGUUGUAAUCUAUAGAGUCGUUUUCCGUGCCGGACUGUGUCCAAGUCCCUUGGAACAGGGUAUCAAAGAGGGUGAUAAUCCCGUACUUGACACAAUGACCGGUGCUCUGUGAUACGUCUUCUACGAGUCGAGUUGUUUGGGAAUGCAGCUCAAAAUGGGUGGUGAGUUCCAUCUAAAGCUAAAUAUUGGCGAGAGACCGAUAGCGAACAAGUACCGUGAGGGAAAGAUGAAAAGCACUUUGGAAAGAGAGUUAAACAGUACGUGAAAUUGUUAAAAGGGAAACGAUUGAAGUCAGUCGUGACUGAGAGGCUCAGCCGGUUCUGCCGGUGUAUUCCCCUCAGUCGGGUCAACAUCAGUUUUGUUCGGUGGAUAAGGGCAGUUGGAAGGUGGCACCCUCGGGUGUGUUAUAGCCAGCUGUCGCAUACAUCGGAUGAGACUGAGGAAUGCAGCUCGCCUUUAUGGCCGGGGUUCGCCCACGUUCGAGCUUAGGAUGUUGACAUAAUGGCUUUAAACGACCCGUCUUGAAACACGGACC